ACUUCAGGGGGAGUAUGGUCACAAGGCUGAAACUUAAAGGAAUUGACGGAAGGGCACACCAGGAGUGGAGCCUGCGGCUUAAUUUGACUCAACACGGGAAAACUUACCAAGACCGUACAUUAAAAGGAUUGACAGAUUAAUAGUUUUUUCAUGAUAUAAUGGUGAGUGGUGCAUGGCCGUUCUUAGUUGGUGGAGUGAUUUGUCUGGUUAAUUCCGAUAACGAACGAGACUUUAUCUUAUUAAUUGGUUUAGUAAGAGUUUACUUUUACUAAAAUAUUUAUAUACUAUUUAAAAGGACAGACUCUUAUUUUGAAUCAAUUUAAUUAAUGAAUUGGUUUAAAGAAAGAGGAGGAAGCAUGAAGCAAUAACAGGUCUGUGAUGCCCUUAGACAUCUU
rnacentral:rRNA from 1 species